rnacentral:rRNA from 1 species
GAGCUUGCUCUUCAUGAAAGUGGCGCACGGGUGCGUAACGCGUAUGCAACCUACCUUAAUCAGGGGGAUAGCCCGAAGAAAUUCGGAUUAACACCGCAUAAAAACACAGGAUAGCAUUAUCCAAUGUUCAAAUAUUUAUAGGAUUAAGAUGGGCAUGCGUGUCAUUAGCUAGUUGGCGGGGUAACGGCCCACCAAGGCGACGAUGACUAGGGGAUCUGAGAGGAUGACCCCCCACACUGGUACUGAGACACGGACCAGACUCCUACGGGAGGCAGCAGUAAGGAAUAUUGGUCAAUGGAGGGAACUCUGAACCAGCCAUGCCGCGUGCAGGAAGACAGCCCUCUGGGUCGUAAACUGCUUUUAUUCGGGAAUAAACCUUAUUACGUGUAAUAAGCUGAAUGUACCGAAGGAAUAAGGAUCGGCUAACUCCGUGCCAGCAGCCGCGGUAAUACGGAGGAUCCAAGCGUUAUCCGGAUUUAUUGGGUUUAAAGGGUGCGUAGGCGGCUUAUUAAGUCAGGGGUGAAAGACGGUGGCUCAACCAUCGCAGUGCCCUUGAUACUGAUGAGCUUGAAUACACUAGAGGUAGGCGGAAUGUGACAAGUAGCGGUGAAAUGCAUAGAUAUGUCACAGAACACCGAUUGCGAAGGCAGCUUACUAUGGUGUGAUUGACGCUGAGGCACGAAAGCGUGGGGAUCAAACAGGAUUAGAUACCCUGGUAGUCCACGCCCUAAACGAUGAAUACUCGCUGUUAGCGAUAUACAGUUAGCGGCUAAGCGAAAGCGUUAAGUAUUCCACCUGGGGAGUACGCCCGCAAGGGUGAAACUCAAAGGAAUUGACGGGGGCCCGCACAAGCGGAGGAGCAUGUGGUUUAAUUCGAUGAUACGCGAGGAACCUUACCCGGGCUUGAAAGUUAGUGAAUCAUUUAGAGAUAGAUGAGUGAGCAAUCACACGAAACUAGGUGCUGCAUGGCUGUCGUCAGCUCGUGCCGUGAGGUGUUGGGUUAAGUCCCGCAACGAGCGCAACCCCUAUGUUUAGUUGCCAGCACGUUAAGGUGGGGACUCUAAACAGACUGCCUGUGCAAACAGAGAGGAAGGAGGGGACGACGUCAAGUCAUCAUGGCCCUUACGUCCGGGGCUACACACGUGCUACAAUGGAUGGUACAGAGGGCAGCAAGCUGGCAACAGCAAGCAAAUCUCAAAAAGCCAUUCACAGUUCGGAUUGGGGUCUGCAACUCGACCCCAUGAAGUUGGAUUCGCUAGUAAUCGCGUAUCAGCAAUGACGCGGUGAAUACGUUCCCGGGCCUUGUACACACCGCCCGUCAAGCCAUGGAAGUUGGGGGUACCUAAAGUAUGUAACCGUAAGGAG